AUUGAACGCUGGCGGCAUGCCUUACACAUGCAAGUCGAACGGCAGCGCGGGGCAACCUGGCGGCGAGUGGCGAACGGGUGAGUAAAAUAUCGGAACAUACCCUAGAGUGGGGGAUAACGUAGCGAAAGUUACGCUAAUACCGCAUACGCACUAAGGUGGAAAGUGGGGGAUCUUCGGACCUCAUGCUCAUGGAGUGGCCGAUAUCUGAUUAGCUAGUUGGUGAGGUAAAGGCUCACCAAGGCGACGAUCAGUAGCUGGUUUGAGAGAACGACCAGCCACACUGGAACUGAGACACGGUCCAGACUCCUACGGGAGGUAGCAGUGGGGAAUUUUGGACAAUGGGGGGCAACCCUGAUCCAGCAAUGCCGCGUGAGUGAAGAAGGCC
rnacentral:rRNA from 1 species